rnacentral:rRNA from 1 species
AUUGAACGCUGGCGGCAUGCCUUACACAUGCAAGUCGAACGGCAUCGCGGGAAAGCUUGCUUUCCUGGCGGCGAGUGGCGAACGGGUGAGUAACACAUCGGAACGUACCGGCUAGUGGGGGAUAACCCGUCGAAAGACGGGCUAAUACCGCAUACGCUCUUAGGAGGAAAGCAGGGGACCUUUGGGCCUUGCGCUAGCCGAGCGGCCGAUGUCCGAUUAGCUAGUUGGUGGGGUAAAGGCCUACCAAGGCGACGAUCGGUAGCGGGUCUGAGAGGACGAUCCGCCACACUGGGACUGAGACACGGCCCAGACUCCUACGGGAGGCAGCAGUGGGGAAUCUUGGACAAUGGGGGCAAACCCCUGAUCCCAGCAAUGCCGCGUGGGUGAAAGAAAGGGCCCUUUCGGGUUGUAAAAGCCCCUUUCGGCCAGGGAAGAAAUUCGG